AGAGAAUAGAUACCCGGGUAGUCCUGGCAGUAAACGGUGCGCGUUUGGUGUGGGAGGAUUCGACCCCUUCUGUGCCGGAGCUAAACGCGUUAAACGCGCCGCCUGGGGAGUACGGUCGCAAGAUUAAAACUCAAAGAAAUUGACGGGGGCCCGCACAAGCGGUGGAGUAUGUGGCUUAAUUCGAUGCAACGCGAAGAACCUUACCUAGCCUUGACAUGCAUCUCUAAGUCGGUGAAAGCCGGCGAGUGUAGCAAUACACAAUUUGCACAGGUGCUGCGUGGCUGUCGUCAGCUCGUGUCGUGAGAUGUUGGGUUAAGUCCCGCAACGAGCGCAACCCCUGUGAACUGUUGCCACCUACAUUCGUGUAGAGCACUCUGUUCAGACUGCCCUGUGAAACGGGGAGAAGGUGGGAUGACGUCAAGUCAGCAUGGCCCUUACGGCUAGGGCUGCACACGUACUACAAUGCUCAGUACAGAAUGAACCGAAACCGCGAGGUGGAGGAAAUCCAUAAAACUGAGCCCAAUUCGGA
rnacentral:rRNA from 1 species